CGGAGGAUGCGAGCGUUAUCCGGAUUUAUUGGUUUAAAGGGUGCGUAGGCGGAUAGAUAAGUCAGUGGUGAAAUUCUGCAGCUUAACUGUAGACUUGCCGUUGAUACUGUCAGUCUUGAGUAUGGUCAAGGCAGGCGGAAUGUGUAAUGUAGCGGUGAAAUGCUUAGAUAUUACACAGAACACCGAUUGCGAAGGCAGCUUGCUGGGCCAUUACUGACGCUGAUGCACGAAAGCGUGGGGAUCGAACAGGAUUAGAUACCCUGGUAGUCCACGCCGUAAACGAUGAUCACUCGCUGUUGGCGAUACACAGUCAGCGGCUAAGCAAAAGCAUUAAGUGAUCCACCUGGGGAGUACGGCCGCAAGGCUGAAACUCAAAGGAAUUGACGGGGGCCCGCACAAGCGGAGGAACAUGUGGUUUAAUUCGAUGAUACGCGAGGAACCUUACCUGGGCUUAAAUGUAGAGUGCAUUGGUGAGAAAUCAUCAUUUUCUUCGGAACUCUCUGCAAGGUGCUGCAUGGUUGUCGUCAGCUCGUGCCGUGAGGUGUCGGGUUAAGUCCCAUAACGAGCGCAACCCUUAUCGUUAGUUGCCAGCGGGUAAUGCCGGGGACUCUAGCGAAACUGCCGGUGUAAACCGAGAGGAAGGUGGGGAUGACGUCAAAUCAGCACGGCCCUUAUGUCCAGGGCUACACACGUGUUACAAUGGCCGGUACAGAGGGCAGCUACCUGGAGACAGGAUGCGAAUCUCGAAAGCCGGUCUCAGUUCGGAUCGGAGUCUGCAACUCGACUCCGUGAAGCUGGAUUCGCUAGUAAUCGCGCAUCAGCCAUGGCGCGGUGAAUACGUUCCCGGGCCUUGUACACACCGCCCGUAGAGUUUGAUCAUGGCUCAGGCUGCACACACCGCCCGU
rnacentral:rRNA from 1 species